UACGAAGGGGGCUAGCGUUGCUCGGAAUCAUUGGGCGUAAAGAGCGCGUAGGCGGCCAGAUAAGUCCGGUGUGAAAGUCACAGGCUCAACCUGUGAAUGCCGCUGGAAACUGCCGGGCUGGAGUCCGGAAGAGGCGAGUGGAAUUCCUGGUGUAGCGGUGAAAUGCGCAGAUAUCAGGAGGAACACCAAUGGCGAAGGCAGCUCGCUGGGACGGUACUGACGCUGAGACGCGAAAGCGUGGGGAGCAAACAGG
rnacentral:rRNA from 1 species